CAAAAUGUCGCUUAAUGAAAGCACCUCGCUUACACCGAGGAGAUAUCUGUGAAACCCAUAUCAUUUUGA
rnacentral:tRNA from 1 species